AAUAGAUACCCAGGUAGUCCACGCCGUAAACGAUGUCGACUUGGAGGUUGUUCCCUUGAGGGAGUGGGCUUCCGGAGCUAACGCGUUAAGUCGACCGCCUGGGGAGUACGGCCGCAAGGUUAAAACUCAAAUGAAUUGACGGGGGCCCGCACAAGCGGUGGAGCAUGUGGUUUAAUUCGAUGCAACGCGAAGAACCUUACCUACUCUUGACAUCCACGGAACUUAGCAGAGAUGCUUUGGUGCCUUCGGGAACCGUGAGACAGGUGCUGCAUGGCUGUCGUCAGCUCGUGUUGUGAAAUGUUGGGUUAAGUCCCGCAACGAGCGCAACCCUUAUCCUUUGUUGCCAGCGGUUAGGCCGGGAACUCAAAGGAGACUGCCAGUGAUAAACUGGAGGAAGGUGGGGAUGACGUCAAGUCAUCAUGGCCCUUACGAGUAGGGCUACACACGUGCUACAAUGGCGCAUACAAAGAGAAGCGACCUCGCGAGAGCAAGCGGACCUCAUAAAGUGCGUCGUAGUCCGGAUUGGAGU
rnacentral:rRNA from 1 species